CGAAGGGCUUGACUGUCUCCUCUUUCAAGUCAAUGAAAUUGAUCUCCCCGUGCAGAAGCGGGGAUACACUCAUAAGACGAGAAGACCCUAUGGAGCUUUAGACACUAAAGCAGAUCAGCAUUAAUACCCCAGAUAUAGGGCACGAAUAAACUGAACACUACCCUAAUGUCUUAGGUUGGGGCGACCGCGGAGAAAUAAAAAACCCCCGCAAGGACCGAAUGUAUUACAUU
rnacentral:rRNA from 1 species